rnacentral:lncRNA from 1 species
CGGCAGUGCUCGGGCCGCCUGGCGGGAGGCGCCUCCCGCCGCCCGGCCCGCCACAGGCGGCGGGGGCCGAGACGGGCCCGUCUCCGCCGCGGGAGCGUGCUGGCGCGGUUUGCCCCCCUGCCUUUGCUCGCUGCCCCUACGUGACUGCAUGUGGCAAACGGGAGAGAAAUAUUAAUCGUUUAAAAGCGAUGCACCAUGCAAAAAUCUCAUUGUUAGACCAGGACAGUGCAUUUUACAAAACAGGAAAAGGAGUUCCAGAAUGAUGAAGAAUGGAUCAACGUUCUUGUCAGAGCCUGACUUUCAACAAAAAGGGUGGUAGGGCUGAAAGCAACAGGAUCAAACAUCUCAAGCCUGCUGCUAGAUGUUGUGGUCUGACAAACUACAUGGCUUCUGUUAUCAAAACAGGUUCUACAGUCCGCAGUCAGACACCCCUGGAAAGAAGCUUUGUUGUGUGUUUCUC